AACCAUCAAAACUUGGGGCUUCGACUUUCACAUUCCUAAAAAUAUGCUCAUCUUGAUCGAACUGGUUAUGAUGCGGGCGUGCCCCUAUAGGUCGAUCAAGUUCUAGAUUCCUACCUCUUUAUCCUAUAGAUAGUCGGGGAGACUCAGGUUCAGGUUGUUUCUGCCUAGCUUCUUCUAAUACCACUAUUCUCUCAUCCAUGGCUUUCAUAAAAUUUUUCAUGUCAUCAAACUUUUCAGUCAGAGCAUUAAUGAUGGCUGCUAUAUUG
rnacentral:lncRNA from 1 species